AAGUCGUAACAAGGUUUCCGUAGGUGAACCUGCGGAAGGAUCAUUAACACGUUCCACGUAUCAACCCGAGCACUCGUUUUUACUCUGAUUAAGCUCCAGUUUAGCACCCUACAAACCUCGCAUUUCAGUCCGCAAACGAUAAGGAAACAGACUGAUCAAGUCUGGCGGCUGGCGAUUUGGUAUAGUCUCCUCUGCAUGCAGAGGAGAAAGGGCUCUGGAUGUCUGGUCAUGCUUCUAUUCCUUGUCGAUCUUUCACAAUCAUUUACCCCAUUCCAAAACGUACUAAUUUAUAUUUCUUUCUUAAGAAAUUGGAACACUUUCUGCUGCUUUACCGCAGUCGGGAGCGCUCUAACCAACUAAGAAAAACCUUAAGAACAACUCUUAACAACGGAUAUCUUGGUUCUG
rnacentral:misc_RNA from 1 species